GAUGAACGCUGGCGGCGUGCCUAAUACAUGCAAGUCGAGCGAACAGAUAAGGAGCUUGCUCCUUUGACGUUAGCGGCGCACGGGUGAGUAACACGUGGGUAACCUACCUAUAAGACUGGAAUAACCCCGGGAAACCGGGUCUAAUGCCGGAUAACAUUUAGAACCGCAUGGUUCUAAAGUGAAAGAUGGUUUUGCUAUCACUUAUAGAUGGACCCGCGCCGUAUUAGCUAGUUGGUAAGGUAACGGCUUACCAAGGCAACGAUACGUAGCCGACCUGAGAGGGUGAUCGGCCACACGAGAACUGAGACACGGUCCCGACGCCUACGGGAGGCCGCAGUCGGGCAUCUUCCGCAAUGGGCGAAAGCCUGACGGAGCAACGCCGCGUGAGUGAUGAAGGUCUUGGGAUCGUAAAACUCUGUUAUUAGGGAAGAACACAUGUGUCAGUCACUGUGCACGUCUUGACGGUACCUAAUCAGAAAGCCACGGCUAACUACGUG
rnacentral:rRNA from 1 species